AUUCACUGAGGCCUUUGUUGUGUCAAAUCCAAGUUAAAUAUCUCCCCUUGUCCAGUCUGGCUUCUCUUGCUCCCCUGCCGGUGUUGAUCUGAGAGCUCGCCCCACACAAAUCUCUUGCACACACAUCAGUCACAGAGUCAGCUUCCUGGGGAGCUCAACCUAUGACCUAUCAUCUUUAGCUGUGUAUUAAUGCCUUGAAUAACAUCUCUGGGUGAAGUUCUGAGGCCAAGAAAGGGUAGCUGAUUUCUCCACUGGUGAUCAGCCCAAUGAGGCAUUUCCUUCCAGCUCUCCCUGAAACUGGCUAUUGUGAAGGACACCCGUUAUCUCAGCAUGCCAAACCCUGUGGG
rnacentral:lncRNA from 1 species